AUUGAACGCUGGCGGCAGGCUUAACACAUGCAAGUCGAGCGGGGUGAUGGUGCUUGCACUAUCACUUAGCGGCGGACGGGUGAGUAAUGCUUAGGAAUCUGCCUAUUAGUGGGGGACAACAUCUCGAAAGGGAUGCUAAUACCGCAUACGUCCUACGGGAGAAAGCAGGGGAUCACUUGUGACCUUGCGCUAAUAGAUGAGCCUAAGUCGGAUUAGCUAGUUGGUGGGGUAAAGGCCUACCAAGGCGACGAUCUGUAGCGGGUCUGAGAGGAGGAUACGCACCACGGGGACUGGACCACGGGCCAGACUCCUACGGGAGGCAGCAGUGGGGAUUAUUGGACAAUGGGGGGAACCCUGAUCCAGCCAUGCGGCGUGUGUGAAGAAGGCCUUAUGGUUGUAAAGCACUUUAAGCGAGGAGGAGGCUCUUUUGGUUAAGACCCAAGAUGAGUGGACGUUACUCGCAGAAUAAGCACCGGCUAACUCUGUGCCAGCAGCCGCCGUAA
rnacentral:rRNA from 1 species